rnacentral:misc_RNA from 1 species
AAGUCGUAACAAGGUAACCGUAGGUGAACCUGCGGUUGGAUCAUUAUAGAAAAUGAUUUUAUUAUUGAGGGAUCAACUGUAAAAAGUUGUAUCACUCUUUACCCCAAAACCAUGUGAAUUUGUAUAUUUUUUUUUCUUGAAGGAAAAGAAAAGUGGUGCACGAUAAAAAGUGUAAUUUUUUUCUUUUUCCUUUAAAAAAAUCUUUUUAUAAACAUUUUAUUUCAACCUUUUUUUUUUUAUAAAAAAACAUAAAAAAAAACAACUUUUGACAAUGGAUCUCUUGGCUCUC